UACAGAGGUCUCAAGCGUUGUUCGGAAUCACUGGGCGUAAAGCGUGCGUAGGCUGUUUCGUAAGUCGUGUGUGAAAGGCGCGGGCUCAACCCGCGGACGGCACAUGAUACUGCGAGACUAGAGUAAUGGAGGGGGAACCGGAAUUCUCGGUAUAGCAGUGAAAUGCGUAGAUAUCGAGAGGAACACUCGUGGCGAAGGCGGGUUCCUGGACAUUAACUGACGCUGAGGCACGAAGGCCAGGGGAGCGAAAGGG
rnacentral:rRNA from 1 species